CUCUUAACUUGAUUUCAAAUAUCCCUUAACUUUAUUUAAAGUAUCAGUUUGGUCCUUUCAGUUAAUUUAAUUCAAAAAAAUGUUAAGUUUAAGGACCAAACUAAUACUAAUUAAAUAAGAUAAGAGACCAAACUAAUACUAAUUAAAUAAGUUAAUGGACCAAAAUUUAACUUUUUUUUGAAUUAAAUUAACAGAAAAGACCAAAGUGAUACUUUAAAUAAAAUUAAGGGACUUAAUCGGACUUUUUAUUACUUAUGGAA
rfam:Medicago truncatula strain A17 chromosome 7, whole genome shotgun sequence.